rnacentral:rRNA from 1 species
AUGGUAAAGUCCAAAGAUGAUCGGUACUCUUCCGGUGAUCGGAGCGGCCGCGGCGGCCUCACGGCGUCGGCCAUCGUCGCCCCAGCCGUGUCCGGGUCGCACGUUCUCAAGAUCGAAGGGUACUCCCGAACCAAAGGGCUUGGCAACGGCAAGUGCAUCGUAUCCAGGACCUCCGCAGUCGGCGGCCGUAGGUGGUAUAUCCAAUACUUCCCUAAUGACAGCGGCACUGACGCUGCCGAUUGGAUAUCCAUCUUCAUCUGCCUCCAUGACGAUGAUACCAAUGAAGUCAAAGCAUCAUACAAGAUUAAUCUGCUCGAUCAAGGCGGGAAUCCGGUCCCAUCGUACGGCUUUGCCAGCCAAGCAUGUUACACUUCCUUCAAAGAACAAGGUCCACAGGUUUGCUAUAAUCUCAUCAGUAGGAAGGACUUAGAGGAGUCGGUCUACCUCAAAGAUGAUAUUUUCAGCGUUAGGUGUGAUAUCACUAUUCCAAAGGAGAUCUUCACAGAGCCCAUCCAGCUAUUUGUCAUGGUGCCACCAUCCGACGUGCAUCAGCAUCUUGGCCGGUUACUCUUGGCAGGCGAUGGGGCCGAUAUCACCUUCAAGGUUGGCCGAGAUACUUUCUCUGCACACAGGUGCGUGCUUGCUGCCCGGUCCUCUGUCUCCAGGGCGGAGCUCUUUGGUCCUAUGAAGGAGAAGACCACAACUUGUGUACAUAUAAAGGAUAUGGAAGCUAGGGUCUUCAAGGCCAUGCUCCACUUCAUCUACUCGGACUCGCUGCCACAUAUUGACGACGACGAUUCUAUUGGGAUGGCUCAGCAUCUGCUUGUAGCGGCGGACAGGUAUAACCUCGAGAGGCUGAAGCUGAUAUGCGUGCAGAAGCUGUGCAACAACAUGGACACAAGCAUGGCGGCGACAACCUUAGCAUUGGCUGAGCAGCACGGAUGCCGCGGGCUCAAGGAAAUGUUUAAGUUCCUUGGAUCCGCAAGUAAUAUUCUGAAGGCGGUCAUGGCGAGCGAUGGAUUUGAGCAUCUGAGGAGCAGCUGUCUCUCUGUUCUCAAGGAGCUUGUGGCCAAACUUGCUCCCUGA